rnacentral:tRNA from 1 species
CCUUAGCUCAGUGGUUAGAGCAGCGGACUCAUAAUCCGUUGGUCCGGGGUUCGAAUCCCUGAG